rnacentral:lncRNA from 1 species
UUUUUUUUUUCAUAUCUCAAUUUCGUGGUUUUUCAAUUUUUGGGUGUUGGAUUUUUUUGUUUUAGGUUAUUAGGGUUCAUAGAAAAUUGUCCUUAUUUUUGUUUUUGCUAGUGGGGUUACAGUGAAACACAAAACUGAAGAAUUUUGGAACCGAAAAUUAGAGAGAAUAGAAAUAUCAUGGUAAAUUUGAAGUGGGCAAGUGGCUUGGUUUUAAGACAAAAAUUUGAGAAUAGAAACCGUCUAAUUUGUCAUGAUAAUGCAUUUUCUUCACUACACUGUAUUUUGUUGUGUGAAUUUGUAUGACCGAUACCAUGAUUAUAUAUUGAACGGUUGCAUUUUUGAAGAAAAUAAAAGUAAAAAGAUGUUGUUAAUUUUUAUUUAGAAGGGUAGUAUUUCUAAAGAAAAAAAAUUGAAGAUGUUAUUGAUUUUUGCUUAGAAUAGUAGUAUUUUAAAGAGAGAAAAAAAUCAAAGUUAAUUUUUUUUAUUGAUUUUUGUUUAUUGNNN